CUGUAGAGGUGUGUUAGCCCCAGCGAGAGACAAUGUAACACCUCAGAAAGCAACAGAAUUCUUUUUAACUUGUGCUUCUGUAAUCCCUACUGAAAAAUGUAACUGUGAGGAUAAAUAUGCUACUGGAGAUAAAUAAUCACAAUGAAAAGCUGCUAAUACACUUGUGAGGGAUUCCUAAGUGAGUGUGUCUAAGUAUACAAACAUUCAUCAUAGUAACAAACACUGUUACCCCUCAUAUCUUCUAUUCUCAUGUUGUUAGGGUGAAGAUUAAACUUUGCAAAGGAGUUGGUGCCAUAAUAAUUAGCACAGGCACUGAACAGAUAUAGAGCCUCAUUCACAGACUCAUUACUGCAUGAUUGUGUGUGUAUA